GGAUGUGCCCGCAACCCAGGUACAUGCCCUUGACUGGAAUCGAACCUGGGACCCUUCAGUCCUCAGGCCGACGCUCUAUCCACUGAGCCAAACCGGUCAGGGCCUGAUAGCGCUUUGAGGAUUCAUGAUAGAGCAGAAGUUUCUCACACCUUCCCCCAGAGAUGGAGUGAAAAUGAAGACCCAGCUCCAUGAUGAUAAGAUCUUUAGAAAAAUGUGGGAGUGCUGGGUCUUGAGAAAGGUGAGGCUGAACAGACAGGUGGUUUGGAGAAAGAGGAAUCUACGUCUUCUCUCUGCACAGCAUUUUAUACACCUAGGCCCUCUGCUACCACCUGCAUCUGUUUAUGAUCUGUUUCUGUCUGCCCCUAUCCCUAGACUGAGCUCCUUGAAGGCACAGGCUGAAUAUUAUUCACAUCUCAGAACCUAGCAUGGGCUGGCCACACGGCAGGAGCACUCAUAUUUUUGAACACGUGAAUCAAUCACUCAUCAUAAAGAUGGAAAUAACUACCCUCAAUUUAGUGCUCACCGCAGGCAGGCACUGGCUAAACACUUCACAUAUAUGACCCUUUCCCAUCUUCAUAUCAGUCCUAUCACACAGGUACGAUUAUUACUGAUAUUUUUUCAGGGGGAAGGAACGGGUUAACAUGAAUCUGUGCAACCAGGAGACUCCCAUCCACAUGUGAGCGACUCCAGAGCCUGUCACUUAACCUGGAGGUCAGCUGCCUAAGAGAGGCGGGGCCGCAGCCAUUCCCAGGCUUCCGGUGGCUUUACCAGAGAGGUGGCUCUGCACCCGGGCCGGGCAGAACGACCGCUGUUGGCUCUGGCCGAUGACCCGGAAGUGAGAGAGGGUAGAGAGGUGGAGUCACCCAGCUCCGAGGAGGAUGAAUUUCCUGCUUGGCCACACUCCUGCACCUCGAACCCCAGGAUUUAGGGUUGCUGAAGAUUUUGCAACACCCGGAGAAGCACAGAAUCACAUGAGAAGUUACUGACCCCGCCUUUCUCGGAACACAAUAAUCCCCUUUCUGGACACAUUUCUCUGGAAAACUCCAGUGACGGGGAACUUACACCUGUCAGAGCAGCCUAUACCUGCCCUAGACCAGCGAUGGCGAACCUAUGACACACGUGUCAGAGGUGACACGCGAACACAUUUUUUUGGUUGAUUUUUCUUUGUUAAAUGGCAUUU